rnacentral:rRNA from 1 species
GGGACACGUGGUAUCCUGUCUGAAUAUGGGGGGACCAUCCUCCAAGGCUAAAUACUCCUGACUGACCGAUAGUGAACCAGUACCGUGAGGGAAAGGCGAAAAGAACCCCGGCGAGGGGAGUGAAAAAGAACCUGAAACCGUGUACGUACAAGCAGUGGGAGCACGCUUAGGCGUGUGACUGCGUACCUUUUGUAUAAUGGGUCAGCGACUUAUAUUCUGUAGCAAGGUUAACCGAAUAGGGGAGCCGAAGGGAAACCGAGUCUUAACUGGGCGUUAAGUUGCAGGGUAUAGACCCGAAACCCGGUGAUCUAGCCAUGGGCAGGUUGAAGGUUGGGUAACACUAACUGGAGGACCGAACCGACUAAUGUUGAAAAAUUAGCGGAUGACUUGUGGCUGGGGGU